CUGGUAGAUUCAUAGAAGACAAGAGUAUGCGAGGAGUUUGCCAUCCACAUACAUAGCAGAGGGUACCAACAUUAAGAAUUGGCAAGCUACCAUGGACACUCUCAUCUCCUUCCUCUGAUGGCAUAGCUGCAUUUGAAGUUGAACGGAGCUGUAGUGACAAUCACUAGUAGUAUUAGGUGAUGAGAGUGAAUUGUAGUAAGAUAUCAUUAUUAGCCUGAAACAUCUACCAACCCUUAAUCAAAUUCAAUUCAAAUAUUACAAGGCCAAAAAAUUUCCACCCUAAAAAUCUACCUUAUGCCAGUACCAUUUUCAGUCUUGAGAAAUCAGAAUCGGGCACUGAAACCAAGUGAAAAGAAAACCUGUUGGUCAGUCAUUUUGAUAAGAUGUAUCUUUGAUUUUCUUUAUGACCAUGAUUCUCCACCUAAAUCAAAUCCAUUUUUCUUGGACUCUCCAAAAUGCCAAUGGGUGUGUGUCCUCCAAAGGUACUGCUUUUUCAGAGGAUUUGAAACAGAUGCAGCAACAUUUUUGGAGAGUCCAAGCAAAAUAGGUUUAAAUACAAACUAUAAUCUUUUUCCGAAGCUCCAUCCCAGUUUCACAGCAUCAUAGCUGGUCUAGUCAGUGAACUCUAUGACCAAUUAGAGUAUAAAACCUGGCAAAUGACCUAAGCUCAACAGUAUCCAAAACAUCAUUUAGGCAUUAGUUUCAUGAAAAUUGCUGCAAUCCCAAAAGAGAAAUGAGUGUUAGGAAAGCAGAAGUUUUUAAUUAAUUUUCUCGUAAAAUCCACAUUCAAUCACAGAUACAUUAAAUCUUCUAAACUUGAUGCUAACAGUAUCACCAGAACUCAAAGAACAAAUCUUUAUAAAUUUGCUGAUCAAUCUAUCAGAUAUGUGUAACAGUAAGGCAUCAGUAAAAUCUUGGAGGGUGUUAUGAGCAAACGUUUCUAGAUAUGUAAAAGUGUUCACAAGAAACCAAAGCUCAAAUCUUUAUAAUUUUGCCUCGCAGUCUAUCAAAUAUAUGCAACAGUGUGGAAUUAAAUCACAAAAGUUUUCCGUAAAAUAUUGGAGGGUGGACAUUGAUAAUUUAACGAGGAAGAGUUAUCUUACAUGCUUCUUCAUGUCAAAUCACCAAAUAUGAUUUUUCCCAGUUCAUUUCAUAAAAGAAAGACUUGGAACGUGUUACAGUAAAAGAGUUUCUAUAUAUAUAAAAGUGAUCACAAAAAUCAAAGACAAAACCUUUAACAUUUUGGCACUUAAUCCAUCAAAUAUAUGUAACUAGGCAUCAGUAAAUCGCAUAAAGCAUCAGUAACAGCUUGGAGGUUAGAAAGAUUAUCUUACAUGCUUCUUCGUCUAAUAAAAUCAGUAAAUCAACAAACAUGAUCCUCCCCUGUUCAUUUCAUACAACCAUGAUUGACCAGGAGUUGAAAAAAUAAACACUUCAGAAAAUCUUAUGAUUAAAGAUCCCAACUAUAACUAGAACUUGAAUCACAUAAAAAGGAUAAAAUAAAUUGUAUCUCUAACUGCAAUCUAAAUCAAACAUCGAUAAUUCAUUAUUGGCAUCACAAUACACAAAUCUCACUUCCAGCAUUCACUACUCAACUAAUGGAAACCUCCUAUGUCCCGUGAACUACUCCCUCCGCUCACUUCUACUUAUAAAUGUUUUGCUUCAGAAGAGUCAAUUUUACUAAUUUUCAGAGCUAUAUCGAAUUAGAUUAAUUCAAUAUUCUAAGUUCUAAAUUCCAAAGUUUGACAACUAUACUAAAAAUACUAUAAAUUGUAAUACUUUUCCAUAACAUUCUUCAAAAAAUAUUAGUCAAAAUCCCCAUAAUUUAACUCUCGAAAAGUAAACAAGUAACUAUAUUCAUGUAUGUGUGUGAGUCUAUAUAAAAACAAGAUCUAGCAAUUGAAUCACAUGCUCACCAAUCUACAAAGUCAGAUCCAGGCAAAUCCAAUCGGAAAUACAAAUUACAAAAUUCAUCCACAUAUACACACACACAAACAUAGUUAAUAAUCCGAAUCAAAUCGAACAAAUUAAACCUGAGUCGAAGCAAAUCACCAAUACUAGAUCGAUCUAAACCGAACCUAAAUUAGCUGAAAUCAAUCCGAAAUCUUCAAUUCACAGCUGUCUCCAAUUCAGUUGAUGCAAGGCAGGACCCAAAUUUCGCCGCUAAUCAAAAUAUAUUCGUCGUUGACAACUUAGUAGAAUUAACACCGCCGUCGUCCGUCAUUAUUUCCGGCGCCGGCGAAUGAGGUCCCGACCUGCACCAAGCGAAUAAGAGGCGGCCGCAAAAAAGUUAACUGAGCAAAGGGCAGAGACCAGAGUU
rnacentral:lncRNA from 1 species